GGAGUCCACAACUUUUACAUUUCGGGCAAUUUAUAUAACGUUUUUUUUUAUAACAAUAUAUUACAUACAAUUCGCUUAAGCAAAAAUAAAGUUGAAAGCAGUUUCGUUUUAUUAUUAUGGAUUUUAGCUUGGCCAGGAACUUUGUCAUCAGGUGCAUUUCCAAAGCAAGGGGAAACUUUUCGCCAAAGGGACCCAGAGCAUAAGAGAAUAAGAGAAUUGGAGAAGCUGAGAAAUGGAAAAAUGGAGGAAGAGAAGUCGAGGGAAUCGUUGACAGGAAGCAAACCGAAACGGCACCAACAAAUUACCCGACCCAUAACCACAGUGCAAUCAAUUGUAGUGGUCCAGCAGAACACACUCGCUCCAGUUGGAUUUGGAGGAGGCAGCCGAGAGCGAGGACGCAGUGCCUCCAAAAGCACUUUAUAUGCCGAGGUAAUGGCGCCUAAUAAACGUCUUCACUCGAGUGCGCUUGGCACCGCCCAGCCACCCCCCCACCCCCCCUUUGCACCGCCCAACCAGAGGGGGGGACAGCGGGGCAAGGACAGGGUGUGGGGAAGGUGGAGCCAGUAAUUAUGAUUUAUGUCGCUUUGGAGAAUGUGCAAGGCGUCUAAUUGUGUGGGCGGGCGUUGGCUACAAUUACGCCCAUCUCCAUCAUUUCCCCCCCUCUUCCGUUGGUCACCUUGUCCCCCGAAUAUGUCUGCUAUUAUGUCAAGCCAGCCGAAAAUAGUGGAAAUCCUACACGAAUGUCGGAUAAAGUAAUUACAGGAUGCUCAUUU